rnacentral:rRNA from 1 species
CCAGAGAAUUUAGCAGAGAUGCUUUAGUGCCUUCGGGAACUCUGAGACAGGUGCUGCAUGGCUGUCGUCAGCUCGUGUUGUGAAAUGUUGGGUUAAGUCCCGCAACGAGCGCAACCCUUAUCCUUUGUUGCCAGCACGUAAUGGUGGGAACUCAAAGGAGACUGCCGGUGAUAAACCAGAGGAAGGUGGGGAUGACGUCAAGUCAUCAUGGCCCUUACGAGUAGGGCUACACACGUGCUACAAUGGCGCAUACAAAGAGAAGCGACCUCGCGAGAGCAAGCGGACCUCAUAAAGUGCGUCGUAGUCCGGAUUGGAGUCUGCAACUCGACUCCAUGAAGUCGGAAUCGCUAGUAAUCGUAAAUCAGAAUGUUACGGUGAAUACGUUCCCGGGCCUUGUACACACCGCCCGUCACACCAUGGGAGUGGGUUGCAAAAGAAGUAGAUAGCUUAACCUUCGGGAGGGCGUUUACCACUUUGUGAUUCAUGACUGGGGUGAAGUCGUAACAAGGUAGGCGUAGUGCU